rnacentral:lncRNA from 1 species
UACCAAAAAUGUUUUCUUUUUUUAAGUUUAAUUUUUCAUUUUUUUAAANGUGAUAAGCAGUGUCAGAAGGAGUUUUAUAAAUAUGAGCAAAAGAAAGAGAAAGAAUGAACCCUGACCAGAAGCAUUUCCCUCACCCAAGGAUAAAGAGCAAAGGAGGUCAUAAAAAGCAAAAGUGUGGUUAAAAGAGUCUGGCUAAGCUGGGAAACCCAACAGGUAAGAUUUUUAUAAAAGGAUANGUUCUGUGUUCUGAGACAUGGCCACA